rnacentral:lncRNA from 1 species
GGCCCAGGUUCAUCUUGUUCCCAGUGUCCGGUGGGCACAACAGAGCGGUCCUUGGAAGGACCCAGCUGCACAAAGACUCCCACCUGUGAGAAGGUCAGAGCAGGGUUUGCUCCAAACACACAGUGGAACUUGUGGGGGGCGGGGGUAGGGGGAAGGGUGGGGGGUGGGUGCGGCAAAUGGCCUUGUCUCUUCCCAUUUCUGAGAGUCUACUUGGAGGAGAUCUUCCUCCAAGAGUUAGGGAUGCAGAGAUGUUUCCCUGGGGCGAGGCUUUAUGGAAAAAUGGAAGUAUUGAAUUUAGGAUCCAGUAAGGAAUUUAAACUUGCCCAAAAAAAGGGGUCUGGUCUUUGCCCUUGGUUUCUGGGAGGUAAUCGCUAAGCGCUUGGAAUGUGCUGCCUGAUAGGAGUGUCUAUGUUUGCCUUGGGUCUUUGCACCAGCCAGCUAAUAACAAUGUGAUUUUGGGUGGGGACCGUGAGCCGCACCAACAUGCUUUAGGGUAGUAGGAGCUCUGGGAGCCUGGAUGGUUCAGUCGGGUAAGGGUCCAACGCUUGGUUUCAGUGCAGGUCCCGAUCUCACAGUUAGUGAGUUCGAGCCCCUCUGUCAGCACGAAGCCUGCUUGGGAUUCUCUCUCUGCCCCUCCCCUGUUCAUGCUCUGUCUCUCUCUCUCUCUCUCUCUCUCUCUCAAAAUAAAUAAAUAACUUUAAAAGAAGGUUUUUUUUUUUUUUUUAAAGGAUAGUAGGGGCUUUGAGCCCAAUGGUAUCAGCUUUGCCUCUUGAGGGGCUGGAGACUGAGAUGAGUCACUCAGCACUGUCACGUGGUGGAAGCUCAGGAAAGACUCUGGACCCCAGGGCUCUGGUGAGGUCUCUGGGCUGGCGUGCUCUCUGCAUCCUGGGCCACAUCAGUGCCAGGAGGGUACUGCUGCCGCCUCAUUUCCCCACUUCCCGACAGAGCCACUCUCCUUGACUCUCCCCUGCACAUUAUCCAUUUACGUUAUUUCCAUUAACAUUUUUUAAAAAAUUUUAUUUAUUAUUUUGAGAGAGAGAGAGAGAGAGAGAGAGACAGACAGACACAGAGCAUGAACAGGGGAGGGGCAGAGAGAGAGGGAGACCCAGAAUCUGAAGCAGGUUCCAGGCUCCAAGCUGUCAGCACACAGCCCGACGCGGGGCUCAAACCCACGAACUGUGAGAUCAUGAUCUGAGCUGAAGUCAGAUGCUCAACCAACUGAGCCCCCCAGGCGCCCUGCAUUACUUCCAUUUGAAUACUUAUUUCCAACUAGCAAUUACUUCCUAUGAUCUGCUGAUAAAGUGUUAAAAAUGAUCUUAUUAAUAUCUGUAUCUAUAUCUAUAUACACAUGUAUGUAUGUACAUAUAUAUACAUACAUACACAUACAUAUUUAAUAUGUAUGUUAUAUAUGUAUAUAUUAUAUAUAUAUACACACACACACAUACACAUACAUAUUUAAUAUGUAUGUUAUAUAUGUAUAUAUUAUAUAUAUUAUAUGUAUGUGUAUAUAUAAUAUAUAAUAUAUUAUAUAUUAUAUAAUAUAUAACAUAUAAAUUAUAUAAUAUAUAUUAUAUAAUAUAUAAUAUAUAAAUUAUAUAAUAUAAUAUAUAUAAAUUAUAUAUAAUAUUUAUAUUAUUUAUAUAAAAUUAUAUAAUAUAUUAUAUAUUAUAUAUAUAUACACACACACAUUGGAAUACUACUUGGUAAUCAAAAAGAAAGAAAUCCUGCCAUUUGCAACAAUGUGGAGGGAACUAGAGUGUAUUAUACUAAGUGAAAUAAGUCAGAGAAAGACAAAUGUCAUAUGAUUUCACUCAUAUGUGGAAUUUAAGAAACCCGACAGAUGAACAUAGGGAAAGGGAAGGAAAAAUAAGACAAAAACAGAGAGGGAGGCAAAUCAUAAGAGACUCUUAAAAAUCAGAGAAGAAACUGAGGGUUGCUGGAGAGGAAGUGGGUGGGGGGAUGGGCUAAAUGGGGGAUGGGCAUUAAGGAGGGCACUUUUCAGGAUGUGCACUGGGUGUCCCAUGUAAGUGAUGAAUCACUGCUUCUACUCCUGAAGCCAAGAGUACACUGUGCGUUAACUAACUUGAAUUUAAAAAAUAAAUUAAGGGGCACCUGGGUGGCUCAGUCUGUUCAGCGUCCGACUUUGGCUCAGGUCAUGAUCUCACCGUUCGUGAGUUCGAACCCCGCGUCGGGCUCUGUGCUGACGGCUCGGAGCCUGGAGCCUGCUUCGGAUUCUGCGUCUCCCUCUCUCUCUGCCCCUCCCCUGCUCACACUCUGUCUCUCUCUGUCUCAAAAAUGAAUAAAACAUUAAAAAUAAAUAAAUAAACAAGCAAGCAAACAAACAAACAAACAAAUAAUGAUCCUAUUAAGACUUCCAUACUCAGGUGAAAGGAACACUUCUAUGCUUUGAAAGAAAAGCACAGAAUUGGAAAGCUUCGACUCCCUGCACUUGACACAAUGUACAGGUACAGGUUCUCCAGGAACAGUGAAAGGUCUACCAAAGAACACACGAUAGGGUCUCAGUAAAUGUUUGUCCCCACCCGUAUGAGUGUGCUGGGGCCGCCCUAAGAAAGUACCACAAACUGGGUGGCUUGAAACAGCAGAAAUUCAUCGUCUCCUAGCCCUUGGGCCAGAAGCUUGAAAUCAGAGUCAGCAGGGCCGGGCUCCCUCUGAAACCGGCAGGGGACCCUUCCUUGCUGCUUGCCAGCUUCCGGUGGGUUGCUGGCAAUCUUUGGUGUUCCUUGGCUUGUAGAUGCCUCUCCCCAGUAUUGCAUUCUCACAUGGCCUUUCCCUUUAAAAAAAAAAAAAAAUUUAAUGGGUAUUUAUUUUUAAGAGAGAGAAAGAGACAGAGAGAGAGCAGGGGAGGUGCAGAGAAAGAGGGAGACACAGAAUCUGAAGCAGGCUCCAGGCUCGGAGAUGUCAGCACAGAGCCCGAUGCGGGGCUCGAACUCGUGAACCAGGAGAUCGUGACCGGAGCCGAAGUCACAUGCUUAACCGCCUGAGUCACCCAGGCGCCCCUAUGUUGUGUGUUGUUGUUGUCGUUGUUGUUUUAAUAAGGACGUCAGCUCUGUUAUCAGGGGCCCAUUCUACUCCAGUAUAACUUCACCUCGGUUAAUUACAUCUGCAACAGUAUUUCCAAAGAAGUCCGAGUCUAAGGUACUGGUGGUUAGGACCCGAAAAUACCUUUGCGGAGGGGGCAAAGUUCCACCAUUUCCACCUUUCUGGAAGCUAAAGCCACUUACGGAGCUCCUAAGCCUCGGUUCCUUCAUCUGUGAAAUGGGAAGAAUGACGUCACCGCCUCCCCGGCUGUGGAGGGAUCAAAGGACAAAGAAGGACACACGUGCCAGGGACACACACGCAUCCAUCGACGUGUAGGACAGCUGACACCCGCGAGAGGGGGGGGGGCUCCCUGCCUCUGUGGGCGGUAGUGAUUCCAAGCAGGAUAUUUUCUAGUGCGUUUACAUUCAUUCACGUCCGAGGCGUGCAACUCCCCUUCUUUCACCUGUCCUUUCUCGUCCUGCCGCCACCAGGUGCUCGGGGAGCAGGGAGGAGCGUGAACCAAAGGAGCAUUGUUCCCUGGGGAAGGCUCAGUCGUCAACUCCGUUCCACCAGCUAGCACGCUGAGACAGUCGCCGGCUGCACCUUGCCUUUUCCUCUGUCUUGACUUCGGUGCUUAUCUGAGAGCCUUUUGUUCAGGCUCAUAAUUAGUCAGUGACUCAGUCGCCCGCAAGCGUUACCCGUGGAGCCAGACGACAACAGCAAGCUCCGUGGACCACCUGUCCCGAGUCAUUUCCUGUGUGGGCGGCAACUUCACAGGGCUGAGAAUAUGAGUUACGGUAAAAAUGGCUUCGGCCCUGGCGUUCUGCAUUGUUGAAACUAGAUGGAAUCUCGCUUCAUUAUGUUCUGGCCAGACACAUUUCAUUAUCGUUCUUUGCAUAUAUAUUAAAAACUCUUACCCCUCUGUGAACAAAUGUGCUCAAGGGGGGGGGAGACGAUACACCCCGGUGAUGCGAGGUUGCUGUA